rnacentral:rRNA from 1 species
UGGCGGCAGGCCUAACACAUGCAAGUCGAGCGGUAGAGAGAAGCUUGCUUCUCUUGAGAGCGGCGGACGGGUGAGUAAUGCCUAGGAAUCUGCCUGGUAGUGGGGGAUAACGUUCGGAAACGGACGCUAAUACCGCAUACGUCCUACGGGAGAAAGCAGGGGACCUUCGGGCCUUGCGCUAUCAGAUGAGCCUAGGUCGGAUUAGCUAGUUGGUGAGGUAAUGGCUCACCAAGGCAACGAUCCGUAACUGGUCUGAGAGGAUGAUCAGUCACACUGGAACUGAGACACGGUCCAGACUCCUACGGGAGGCAGCAGUGGGGAAUAUUGGACAAUGGGCGAAAGCCUGAUCCAGCCAUGCCGCGUGUGUGAAGAAGGUCUUCGGAUUGUAAAGCACUUUAAGUUGGGAGGAAGGGUUGUAGAUUAAUACUCUGCAAUUUUGACGUUACCGACAGAAUAAGCACCGGCUAACUCUGUGCCAGCAGCCGCGGUAAUACAGAGGGUGCAAGCGUUAAUCGGAAUUACUGGGCGUAAAGCGCGCGUAGGUGGUUUGUUAAGUUGGAUGUGAAAUCCCCGGGCUCAACCUGGGAACUGCAUUCAAAACUGACUGACUAGAGUAUGGUAGAGGGUGGUGGAAUUUCCUGUGUAGCGGUGAAAUGCGUAGAUAUAGGAAGGAACACCAGUGGCGAAGGCGACCACCUGGACUAAUACUGACACUGAGGUGCGAAAGCGUGGGGAGCAAACAGGAUUAGAUACCCUGGUAGUCC